AUGCACAUAGGGCCUCAGGCUGCUGAUGAAAACCAGCCGAGCCCAGCCCUGCCUCCGCAGCUCUGCAGAGGAGUGCAGCUGUGCAUGCCCAGGAUUUCCCACGUAUCGAUCAGGCCUGAGCACCUACGGCUCAUCAUGGAGCUCUGGCUGAGCUGGGUUUUCCUUGUUGCUGUUUUAAAAGGUGUCCAGGGUGAAGUGCAGCUGGUGGAGUCUGGCGGAGGCUUGGUGCAGCUUGGGGGGUCGCUGAGACUCUCCUGUGCAGCCUCUGGAUUCACCUUCAGUAGUUCCUGGAUGAACUGGAUCCGCCAGGCUCCAGGGAAGGGGCUGGAGUGGCUCGGGGAAAUUCGCGGGAAUAGUGGUACCAUAAACUACGCAGGCUCUGUGAAGGGCCGAUUCACCAUUUCCAGAGACAACGCCAAAAAUACGCUGUAUCUGCAAAUGACCCAACUGAAAACCGAGGACACGGCCAUAUAUUACUGUGCAUGGCACAGUGAGGGGAUGUCAGUGUGA